rnacentral:rRNA from 1 species
CCUACGGGAGGCAGCAGUGAGGAAUAUUGGUCAAUGGGCGCGAGCCUGAACCAGCCAAGUAGCGUGAAGGAUGACUGCCCUACGGGUUGUAAACUUCUUUUAUAAAGGAAUAAAGUGAGGCACGUGUGCAUUUUUGUAUGUACUUUAUGAAUAAGGAUAGGCUAACUCCGUGCCAGCAGCCGCGGUAAUACGGAGGAUCCGAGCGUUAUCCGGAUUUAUUGGGUUUAAAGGGAGCGUAGAUGGGUUGUUAAGUCAGUUGUGAAAGUUUGCGGCGCAACCGUAAAAUUGCAAUUGAUACUGGCAGUCUUGAGUACAUGUGAGGUAGGUGGAAUUCGUGGUGUAGCGGUGAAAUGCUUAGAUAUCACGAAGAACACCGAUUGCGAAGGCAGCUUACUAAAC